GUUCCGCUGGGAGGCGGGAGGAGUGAAAGCUGCGUUUCUCGAAGGAGGCGUCUGGGGGCCGGGAAGAUGGACACGGAAGCGCACCGCUUGGGUGAUCCGUGCGUGCGACCGGCGCGACGGCGACGGGUCUGCUCCAGGGCGCAGGCGCCGAGACCUGCUGGGUGCGGCGUUUCUCUCGCCUGAUUGUAAGCUCCUUGAGGACAAGGGACUGUGGCUUUUUUGGCUCCCUGUAUAGCCGCAUAUCUAGCAUGUGUUAUAGAGUGGCUGUUACCAAGCAGGUAUGUCACAGAGUUCUUAAUAUUGAUUUAUGCUUCAGUGUGCUGAUUUCUUCAAGCACUUUUAAUAAUGAAGGUGAGAAAACUGAAGCAUUGAAGUUUUAAUUUGCUUGUGGUAAAAUGGAAGACACAGAAGUGAAAAAAAUAACAUGCAUACUAUUCCAGCUAUGUAAAAUUAUACGUAUGUAUAUAUAUAUAUGCACAAAAAUAUUAAAACAAAGAAAUUUGACCUUUAUCACUGGCUGAUGAGAUGUCUAUGCUUUGUGUUAAGAGAAAAA